AGUGAAUGAGUUUGACGGCUGCUCAACAGACAAGUCAUGGCAUCAGGCUGCAGUUUUUGUUGUACAAUACAAACACAUAAAGAAUAUAAAGAGACAGAGUAACACUUUAGUUUCAGUCAGAAACUGACUGAACUGAACUUUAAGAGGCAAACAUUUUCCUUGAAAGUUUCCUUAACUCAACAAAUCCAUUAUUUCAUUUGUUUUGGCAGUCUUAUUCUUGUUUUUUUUGUUUGUUUUUUUUUUAAAUUCACAAUCAGACAGUUUUAUUUUCCCUGUAAAAGCUGAACCAAUCACGAUGCGAUUAUCCACACCACAUAUUUGAACCUUUAGAUCACGUCUCUGUUACACUUCAUUUGGAAAUCGCAGGAAAUAAGGUCUGAUUCACAGAGCUGGUGCGACUAAAUGUCACGUCUCGUUCGGAAGCGUCACCUGCGCCAGACACGCGAAAAGGUCAGCGAAGAUACUGGAAUAAAGAAGAAGAGUUAAACUUCACGUAUUUGACUCUUUUUGUGUCGAAUCACAAAUUGUUUAUUCGUGUAAAAAAAAUGUGAUGAAGAUCAACCCGACUGCCAGACAUUAAUACACCACGACCCCGCGCAAGAAAAGGGACAACUAAUGCUAAAUACCGGUGUUACGCCUUCGAUUUGAAUGCGGCCGAGUGGGAGCGAGAGGCGUAUGCAAAGCGCUAAAAAGGAUGAGACCAGGUGCCGAGAUGAGCUCCGAGCUGACCUCAAAAACUGAAUCAAAGGAGUGUGAGUGAGUGAGAGGGAGAGAGUGGGGGAGGAGAAGAGGAGGAGGCAACGAGAUGUGGAGAGGAGGGAGAUUUGUGUGCGUGUGUGUUGCAUUUUUCUCCAGUCAUAUUGGGGGAAUGAAAUAGGUCAUACAAGCAAAAGAGCAUCAAACAUGCACCUGCUUUAGGAGGUGUUAGAGUGACAUUUUCUCUGUUUUCAAAAUGUCAACUUUCCUUUUUAAGGAAUGCGCUGUUAUAUAUAACGCACAGCGCGAAACAUAAUUGUUGGAUUUGACUUAUUUGUAAUGCAUCUUGUAGAGAAACUGCAGAUAUUACUCUUUAUUUUGAAUCAUCUUCUUUCCAGCAGCAUCAAUACAUCAAACAUAUAAUAUGUGUUAAUUCUUCUUUACAAUGUCUGAAAGUGGCUCAAUCUUUGUUAUGUAUCAGUUAACUCAAGGUAACAGCGCAAUUAAUAAGCAAACAAGACUACAUUGAAUAAACCUUCAAAACAUUUCCUGAUCUCUGAAUAAAGUUAAUUUCCUCCUCCAGCUCCUCCAGGCAGUAGUCAGCAAAACCAAACAAAAACACCUGAAAAUGGAGGUCAGCUUUGCGGAUCACCGCUGCAGUCAGGUUGAUAAACAGGAGUGAAGUCCCCCUAGUGGCAGAAGUUACAUAUUGUAUGUUUAAUUACAAUAUUAAAUUUCAUGUUACAUGUUUUCUGUGUAAAAUGUCGUCUGAGUUUGACCAAACAGCUUAUUUUUAUACAGUACAGAGGUAUUAAAAGAUCAUAGAUCAGCGAUCGAAGCUUCAUGCUUUUAUCUCAUGUUGCUGUUUGAUCCAGCUGUACUGAAGUAUCCACGUCACAUAAUCUCUCUGCUGAUAAUCACUAAAGCAACAUCUGGAGUAACUUG